AUACGUAGGGGGAGAGCGUUGUCCGGAUUUAUUGGGCGUAAAGGGUGCGUAGGCGGCCUUGUAAGUCAGAUGUGAAAGAUCAUGGCUUAACUGUGGUAAGCAUUUGAAACUGCAGGGCUUGAGUACAGAAGAGGAGAGUGGAAUUCCUAGUGUAGCGGUGAAAUGCGUAGAUAUUAGGACGAAUACCAGUGGGGAAGGUGACUUUUUGGACUGUUACUGGCGCGCUGGCACGAAAGCGUGGGGAGUAAACUGGAUUAGAUGCCUUGUUAUUCCACGCUAAAAACGAUGAUUGCUAGGUUUCGUGGGUCAAACCUCAGUGCCGCAUUGAACACAUUAAGGACUCAGCCUGGGGACUACUGCCGCAAUGCUGAAACUCAAGUGAAUUGACGGGG
rnacentral:rRNA from 1 species